rnacentral:rRNA from 1 species
GCAUAACGCGAAGAACCUUACCAAGGCUUGACAUACACCAGAACACCCUAGAAAUAGGGGACUCUUUGGACACUGGUGAACAGGUGGUGCAUGGUUGUCGUCAGCUCGUGUUGUGAGAUGUUGGGUUAAGUCCCGCAACGAGCGCAACCCUCGUUCUAUGUUGCCAGCACGUAAUGGUGGGAACUCAUGGGAUACUGCCGGGGUCAACUCGGAGGAAGGUGGGGAUGACGUCAAAUCAUCAUGCCCCUUAUGUCUUGGGCUUCACGCAUGCUACAAUGGCCGGUACAAAGGGCUGCAAUACCGUGAGGUGGAGCGAAUCCCAAAAAGCCGGUCCCAGUUCGGAUUGAGGUCUGCAACUCGACCUCAUGAAGUCGGAGUCGCUAGUAAUCGCAGAUCAGCAACGCUGCGGUGAAUACGUUCCCGGGUCUUGUACACACCG